rnacentral:rRNA from 1 species
GGCGGCAGGCUUAAUACAUGCAAGUCGAGCGCCCGUAGCAAUACGGGAGCGGCAGACGGGUGAGUAACGCGUGGGAACGUACCCUUUGGUUCGGAACAGCACAGGGAAACUUGUGCUAAUACCGGAUAAGCCCUUACGGGGAAAGAUUUAUCGCCGAAGGAUCGGCCCGCGUCUGAUUAGCUAGUUGGUGAGGUAAUGGCUCACCAAGGCGACGAUCAGUAGCUGGUCUGAGAGGAUGAUCAGCCACACUGGGACUGAGACACGGCCCAGACUCCUACGGGAGGCAGCAGUAGGGAAUAUUGGACAAUGGGGGCAACCCUGAUCCAGCCAUGCCGCGUGAGUGAUGAAGGCCUUAGGGUUGUAAAGCUCUUUUGUGCGGGAAGAUAAUGACGGUACCGCAAGAAUAAGCCCCGGCUAACUUCGUGCCAGCAGCCGCGGUAAUACGAAGGGGGCUAGCGUUGCUCGGAAUCACUGGGCGUAAAGCGCACGUAGGCGGACUCUUAAGUCGGGGGUGAAAUCCUGGA